rnacentral:rRNA from 1 species
AUGGGCCCGAACCUUCCCAAAAUGGGCUUCACGGCUUUACCAUCGUGCGGGCUUCUUCUCUUCUACCAACUCCUCCCCCAUCCGUUCUGGGCUUCUGGCCAAUCUCAUUCUCGCCGGCCCUGUUCGUGCGAGAGCAGAGGAGACGGAGGUUUGCUAGGUUUUAGCGCGGGUGCGGCGGCGCGGUCCUGCCGUUGUGUGUUAGGUUGGCCGGAGCAAGCGAGCGGGAUGCCAAAGGGCGACGACGCGCUCGCGCGGAAGCGCGGGAAGGUGCGUCGCAAGCGGAUGCGCAGCAGCGAGAACGCCGUCUCCACGCGCGUCGCCGCCAUCAUCGCCUCCAAGCGCCGCCGCAAGACCGGCAAGCGCCGCGGCUGCGAGGGCAUGUGCUUCUCCCUCCCUUGCCCCGAGGACCCCUUCAACGAGCGCCACGGCAAGAAGCGCAAGACCGAAGACGCCGCCGACACCAACGACGACCACAAGAAGAAAAGCAAGGGUUCCAAGAAGCAGGAGCGGGCCACCGGUCCUAAUGCCAUACACGUGCGGAAGAAGGAGACGGGGGAGGACCGGCUGGAGUAUGACCGGCCGUCCAAGUUCCUGGUGGUCUGCCUCAACGCCAUCCGGGACGGGGCGGGGGCAUCCGAGGAGGACGGCGGCGGCAUCCACGACACCGCCUCCUGGGGCAUGGAGCUCUGGAAGUCCUGCGCGGCGUCCCCUCCUUCGGACGUGCUCGACACCAGCUACCAGUACGCCACCCGGGAGCAGACGGCGUGGCUCGUCUCCACGGCCUGCGACAUCGUCGCCAGGAAGGAGAAGCUCGGAGUGGUUGUCUCAUGCCCCUUCCUCCUCUACCUCGUCCCUUCCCAGGAAAAGGCGGUGCAAGUGCGUUCAAUAUGUAAACCGCUGAAGUCUCUUGGAAUACAUUCAGUGAGCUUGCAUCCUGGCGCUUCCAUAGAGCACCAGAUUUCUGGAUUAAAGAGCUGUGAGCCCGAGUUUCUUAUAUCUACCCCGGAGAGGCUCCUUGAACUGGUCUCACUAAAGGCAAUUGACAUAUCGAAUGUAUCAAUGCUGGUCAUUGAUGGACUAAAGGAUUUCAUGGACCUUAAUAUCAUCAAAGAACUUCGUUCUAUUCGAGGUACCAUAUCAGGUGAUGCACAGGUAACUAUAUUUAGUGGUCAAUGUGACCAGAGUGCGGCAACAGUGGCAAGAAAUCUACUACAUGGGAGAAUUACAAAGCUUACCACGAAUGAUUCUGUUACUUCUCGAAGUGCAUUUGUAGCACAGCAUGUACACUUCUGUACUAAAGAAGAGAAGACAUCAAAGGUUAAGGAAAUUCUUGAGCAUGUUUUAGAAAACCAUGCUAGUAAGACAGCAAAGGUUUUGCUAGUAGCCGCGAAUGAUAAUGAAGCGCAGAAACUCUCUUCAUCCCUGAAACUGGAAAUCCUCACAGUGAAUGAUGGCUCGCAAGGCAGCACCUUUACCGUAUGCAGCAGCAUGGGGCUUAUCAAUGUCCUUGUGAAAGGCUGUGAGAGCUUAGCAACAUCAGGUGUUGAGGAAUUUGAGAUUGUGUUGGUCGCGGACUUGCCUCCUUCAUUUGAUGAUUAUGUUGAGAUCCUCACCAGGACAGCUCGUCACACGGUUGCAGGGGAGGUGCAUGUUAUCGUCUCUAAGACUGAUGCUGCUCAUGCAAAGCCCUUGGCUGAUGUUCUUGCAAACAGUGGACAGGCGGUGCCUAAGUUGCUAAGACAAUUAAUUGACAAGAAUCACUCCUGA